rnacentral:rRNA from 1 species
GAUGAACGCUGGCGGCGUGCCUAAUACAUGCCAGUCGAGCGAACAGACGAGGAGCUUGCUCCUCUGACGUUAGCGGCGGACGGGUGAGUAACACGUGGAUAACCUACCUAUAAGACUGGGAUAACUUCGGGAAACCGGAGCUAAUACCGGAUAAUAUAUUGAACCGCAUGGUUCAAUAGUGAAAGACGGUUUUGCUGUCACUUAUAGAUGGAUCCGCGCCGCAUUAGCUAGUUGGUAAGGUAACGGCUUACCAAGGCAACGAUGCGUAGCCGACCUGAGAGGGUGAUCGGCCACACUGGAACUGAGACACGGUCCAGACUCCUACGGGAGGCAGCAGUAGGGAAUCUUCCGCAAUGGGCGAAAGCCUGACGGAGCAACGCCGCGUGAGUGAUGAAGGUCUUCGGAUCGUAAAACUCUGUUAUUAGGGAAGAACAAAUGUGUAAGUAACUAUGCACGUCGUGACGGUACCUAAUCAGAAAGCCACGGCUAACUACGUG